rnacentral:rRNA from 1 species
CGUAGGUCCCGAGCGUUGUCCGGAUUUAUUGGGGCGUAAAGCGAGCGCAGGCGGUUUAAUAAGUCUGAAGUUAAAGGCAGUGGCUUAACCAUUGUUCGCUUUGGAAACUGUUAGACUUGAGUGCAGAAGGGGGAGAGUGGAAUUCCAUGUGUAGCGGUGAAAUGCGUAGAUAUAUGGAGGAACACCGGUGGCGAAAGCGGCUCUCUGGUCUGUAACUGACGCUGAGGCUCGAAAGCGUGGGGAGCAAACAGGAUU